UACGUAGGGGGCAAGCGUUGUCCGGAAUCAUUGGGCGUAAAGAGCUCGUAGGCGGUUUGUUGCGUCGGCUGUGAAAUCCCGAGGCUCAACCUCGGGUCUGCAGUCGAUACGAGCAAACUAGAGUGUUGCAGGGGAGACUGGAAUUCCUGGUGUAGCGGUGAAAUGCGUAGAUAUCAGGAGGAACACCGGUGGCGAAGGCGGGUCUCUGGGCAACAACUGACGCUGAGGAGCGAAAGCGUGGGGAGCGAACAGG
rnacentral:rRNA from 1 species